UGUUUUUAAAGUUUAUCCAAUUUAGGGCAGUGGAAAUGUUAGAUUUUUUUUUUAAGAGCAAAAAUAUUUAUUGAGAGAAAGAAAGCCUCUGUCUGUGAUAGAGAAAGAUGGAAGGGUUCCUAGGUGGGUUGCAUAGAUUUAUUUUUUAAAUCUAGAAAUUUAAAAAAAAAAUUUUGUUCUGUCCCAUUGAACCAAAGGUAAACAGCAACAAGUCAGGAAAAGUGCAGUUUUGCUUUUAAAACGUGCGCCUCUGCCUCCCCGAUACCUGCCAGAGGACUGUCUCCUCUGCGCAGCGUUGGAAGCCGGCGGCCAGCUGGGCAGGGUGGGGCACUCGCCUGUUAUUCCCACACUCUGAGGCUGCUGCGAGUUUGACCCAGCCAGGACCCCGUGUCCAAAAACCAAACAAACAAACAAAAAGCACCACGUAGGCUGGUGGCGGAGCCCAGCUCUGCCUCUGGAGAGGAUACGCAGGAGUUCCGGUUUGUGUUAAUAGGCGCCCAGGCCAUUCUGCUGCACGCUUAAAUCCAAAUUGGAAAGCCGAUGGUGUGGCCAGGAGAAUGCCUUGCACAGAGAUUCAGUUAAUCGGAUGCUCAGGCAGUGUCCAGGCAAGUGGACAGCCUGAAGGAUGAGCAGAGUGGCUGAGACCAGUCCCAAGACACUCAUCGUCGUCACAGUUGGAAGAGGCUUCUGGGAACCUUGGGCUUCGUGUUCACUUCCCAGCUGCACACACGAGCGCCCCAGGAGCACUGCGGUCAGAGUGCGCCAGGGUCGGGAUCCUUUCCUGUGAGCCCAGCACGGCUUGCUCAGUCCCUCGGCUCGGCUCCCGGCUCUCCAGAGGCUGCAGCCGGAGCUCUGCACCAUGCGACGACUCCGCCUGAGUGGCCGCUGCCUCCUGUGGCCCCCAGCUCUGGCCACUGUGCUCGCAGCCCCGCUUUACCCCGCGUCCAUCGCUUUCCUCAUGCUGGGUCUGUGUUGUGGUCACUGCCUGUACACAGAACUGCGGGUCGAAGCCCUGGAUAUGUUGAAGGUGUUUACUUAUUUUUAAUAAAAUUGAAAGUGCAGCACUCAAA